rnacentral:rRNA from 1 species
AAGUCGUAACAAGGUUUCCGUAGGUGAACCUGCGGAAGGAUCAUUCAUAAUAAGUGUUUUAUGGCACUUUUUAAAUCCAUAUCCACCUUGUGUGCAAUGUCAGUCGAUUUUCUUUAUGGAGAUCGGCCAAACAUCAACCUAAUUUUUUAACUCUUUGUCUGAAAAAUAUUAUGAAUAAAAUAAUUCAAAAUACAACUUUCAACAACGGAUCUCUUGGCUCUCGCAUCGAUGAAGAACGCAGCGAAAUGCGAUACGUAAUGUGAAUUGCAGAAUUCAGUGAAUCAUCGAGUCUUUGAACGCACAUUGCGCCCAUUGGUAUUCCUUUGGGCAUGUCUGUUUGAGCGUCAUUACAACCCUCAGCCAACCGCUGGUUCUGAACCGGGACAGGGUCACACCCGCACCGGUUUUAAAGUUGUAAGCUCUGCUGGUCGCCCCGCCCAACCGGAACAUAGUAAGCAACUACUCUUGUUCGGAGGUAAGCGGGGAGCGGUACGGCCUGAACAAAACCUACCCAUCUCUAAGGUUUGACCUCAGAUCAGACAAGGAUACCCGCUGAACUUAA